rnacentral:lncRNA from 1 species
CCCCACCUCCCCCCACCCCCCGCCGCCGCUAGGGUUACUAAAGAAUUUAACAUUGUUUUAAUUUGGAACACAAGUUGAGUCUAUUAAAACCUCUUGUGCCCUAUAUAUAAGAUUCGUGCUUUAUAUCAUCAUAAAGCUUUAGAGUAUUAAGUAAUCGAUUUAAUUAAACAAGCAAUAUUUUUGGCCUCAGGCCCCACCCUGGAUGUGAAAAGGUUUUAUAAAUUUCAAAGAAUGUGGAGACGUGGGAUCAACAUUAUGGACCUAGAAAAUCAAGGUCCUCACUCAUGCAAAUGUAUGGAUGUGUCGCCCAGUUUAGGUAAAUUUGAGUCUUUUAAAUGCUCUCAUUUUAUCAUAGUAGGAUUUGACCAAACCAACAUCUGCUGGUUUUGCUGCCCAGCAUUCAUUCUUUUUUGGAAAAUCUCCCAAUUUCCCUCUAGGAAGUCAGUCCCAACUCUGAUAGUAUUCAGACGGGGUUCCAUGCAGGGAUCCAGGGACCCAGGGCCACAGUGAUUGGUCUAGCGGGUGGUCAUGUGAUUCAAGAGGGGCCAAUGAGAAGACACUGGGAUGUUGACGGGAAUGCUAGGACCAAGGAGCUCACUCUGUUUCCUUGAAAGCACUAGAUCUGGGGCUACAAUCUUUCAAUCUCCAGGGGUGAGAGUGCCAAGGACCACCAGGAAGAGCUCAAGGAUGGUCUCAACAUGGAAAAGAUGGGGCCAAGAAUUUGAGGGAAAGAGAGAACCAAAAACUGCAUCCUGAGGAUAUUGUCGAGACCCCCGCUUCCAACUGUUCCCUAAAGUCCCAGCAAUUGCACACCAGUGAGACCAGAAAUUAUUUUUAGUGAUUCAUGCAGUUGGGGUUUCUGUCACUUGCAACCAAAUUUGUCUGGGUAAUUAACAAAGCAGAGCCCUGGUAAAUUUAAAAUUAGUACUGAGAUGUAUGAUGUCAACUUCUCUCUUCACCACAGAUGCUGCGUGAAGGACUGUGAAGAUGCUCUCAGGGCUGGAGGUUAAGGGCCCUGGGGUCUGAUGCAGGAGUGACUUUGGACAGUCACUUCCUCAUUCUGGGACUCAGUUCCUAAAUAAGGAAGUGACAUGGAUCAGGUGGUCUUUCAAAGGCCACCUCCAGAAUGGUCUAAUCUGUGAUGUUAGGGAAUGUAAAGAGAAAUCACAGACCUCAUGAUACCUAUACACAUGCACGUGUACGCAUACACACACACAUACACAUACAGUGGCAUACACAUGCACGCAUAGACACACAGAGAUACAUACAUGCACACAUGCAUGCACACAUGCAUACACACAUGCAUAAACACACACACAAAGUCUCCUUCCUGAUACACUCCUUAUUACACAGAUUACUCAGUCUUCCUUUGUAGAAUCCACUUCUCUCUGGAGUCUAAAGACCUAAGGGUCCAUGGGACCCUACAGUGGAUCAGGGAAAAUGGGGCACAAAAGCAGAGGCACCAACUUGCUUACUGGAUUCACACAAAAUCCUCAACCCCAUUUUAGAACACCAAUGGGAAGAGCAGAGAAAGUGGGUACACAUCACAUUCCACAUAAAUUUCUGGGAUGCUUCUGUAGAAAGCUAAAGAAACUUCAAGAAAAAGAGUUCUCCUUCAUGAGCAAGAGAAUAAUUACAGCAAUAGCAGCAUGGGUGAGUCAGUAUCUUUCCAGGUGUUUUCUGGGUUUUCUACCUCUUUCCAUGUUUGUAGAGCCAACUCUAACUCUAAUACCUGCUCAGAUUUUAAAUCAUUAUGCAAGGAGUUCCCUGGUGGUCCAUUGAAUUAAGGAUCUGGUGUUGUCAUUGCAGCAGCUUGGGUAGCUGCUAUGACACAGGUUCCAUCCCUAGCCCAGGAACUUCCAUAUGCCUCGGGCAUGGACCCCCAAAAAAAUCAUUAUGCAUAUCAGGAUCUCAAAAAAUGCAAGUAGGGCAUUAGAAAAACCCAACUCCUGAUUUAAUUUUUUUUUUUUUAGGGCCACACCUGAGGCAUAUUGAAGUUCCCAGGCUAGGGUCAAAUCAGAGUUGCAGCUGCCAGCCUACGCGGCAGCCACAGGAGCACCAGUCCUGAGCCGCAUCUAUGACUUACACCCCAGUUUUCAGCAAUGCUGGAUCCUCAACCCAUUGAGCGAGGCCAGGGAUUGAACCCACAUCCUCACAGACACUGUAUCAUAUUCCCACUGAGCCACAACAGAAAUUCCCUGAUUUUUUAACUGAGGAAAAGCAGGUACCAAAUGUUGGGUUACAUCAUGUAUUCUGUACUGCAAGGAGCCUUCUGCAAGCUCAGACUGACCCCCUAGCCUGCAGUCCAUCCUCACUCACGUCCCCUUAAAGCUCCCUGCUA